AUGGCCAGGACGAGCUUGUUCUUGUUGGCGCGCAGUGCUAAUGGUGGCGGCCAGAAUUCAGGUUGGUCUUCGGAGGACAAGAUGUGGAAGAAAAUAGGGAACAUCCAGGUACCGAACAAGAUGAAAAUAUUGCUGUGGAGGUUUGUUCACAACAGCCUGCCAUCGGGAGAACAGUUGCAGCAUCGUCAGGUCCCAACUAGGACAGAUUGUGUGUUCUGUGGCAGAGCUGAAGGGAUUGAGCACGCAUUGCUAUUUUGUGGCCAUGCUCGAUUGGUCUGGGAGGAGAUCAAGGAGGCUUCUGGCAUCAAACUGUGUCGUUCAUCUUUCACUUCUCCUAAGCAGUGGAUGUUCGAACUGUUUGGCCGGUGCUCCGACAAGGAAAUUUCAGUCAUGACGAUCUCAUUAUGGCACAUCUGGAAAGCCCGCAAUGUAUGA
rnacentral:rRNA from 1 species